rnacentral:rRNA from 1 species
GACGAACGCUGGCGGCGUGCUUAACACAUGCAAGUCGAACGAUGACGACCGAGCUUGCUCGGACUGAUUAGUGGCGAACGGGUGAGUAACACGUGAGCAACCUGCCCUUCACUCUGGGAUAACCUCGGGAAAUCGGGGCUAAUACCGGAUAUGAGCUCCUGUCGCAUGGCGGGUGUUGGAAAGUUUUUCGGUGAAGGAUGGGCUCGCGGCCUAUCAGUUUGUUGGUGAGGUAGUGGCUCACCAAGGCGAUGACGGGUAGCCGGCCUGAGAGGGCGACCGGCCACACUGGGACUGAGACACGGCCCAGACUCCUACGGGAGGCAGCAGUGGGGAAUAUUGCACAAUGGGCGAAAGCCUGAUGCAGCGACGCCGCGUGAGGGAUGACGGCCUUCGGGUUGUAAACCUCUUUCAGCAGGGAAGAAGCGAAAGUGACGGUACCUGCAGAAGAAGCGCCGGCUAACUACGUG